rnacentral:rRNA from 1 species
GAUCAUGGCUCAGGAUGAACGCUAGCUACAGGCUUAACACAUGCAAGUCGAGGGGCAGCAAUGUUUGGUUGUCUUGCAACCAACGAUGGCGACCGGCGCACGGGUGAGUAACGCGUAUCCAACCUUCCGCAUACUCGGGAAUAGCCUUUCGAAAGAAAGAUUAAUGCCCGAUGGUUUCCCGAAUUCCGCAUGAGAAGCGGGAAUAAAGAUUCAUCGGUGUGCGAUGGGGAUGCGU